rnacentral:misc_RNA from 1 species
UACGAAGGGGGCUAGCGUUGUUCGGAAUUACUGGGCGUAAAGGGCGCGUAGGCGGUUCAUUGAGUCAGAUGUGAAAGCCCCGGGCUUAACCUGGGAAUUGCAUUUGAUACCAAUGGACUAGAGUGUGGGAGAGGAGAGUGGAAUUCCCAGUGUAGAGGUGAAAUUCGUAGAUAUUGGGAAGAACACCAGUGGCGAAGGCGGCUCUCUGGACCACAACUGACGCUGAGGCGCGAAAGCGUGGGGAGCAAACAGG